rnacentral:rRNA from 1 species
AUUGAACGCUGGCGGCAGGCCUAACACAUGCAAGUCGAACGAGUCGCGGACUUGUGAGUAAUGUCUUGGAAACUGCCUGAUGGAGGGGGAUCACUCCUGGAAACGGUAGCUAAUACCGCAUACCAUCAGAUGUGCCCCGAUGGGUUUAGCUCGUUGGUGGGGUAAAGGCUCACCAAGCCGACGAUCCCUAGCUGGGCGGAGAGGAUGACCAGCCACACUGGAACUGAGACACGGUCCAGACUCCUACGGGAGGCAGCAGUGGGGAAUAUUGCACAAUGGGCGCAAGCCUGAUGCAGCCAUGCCGCGUGUAUGAAGAAGGCCUUCGGGUUGUAAAGUACUUUCAGCGGGGAGGCGUUAACCGAAGAAGAAGCACCGGCUAACUCCGUGCCAGCAGCCGCGGUAAUUG